ACAUUCAAUAGCAAGUGAGCAAGUAAACGGCAGAGACGUGUGUCCACGAGCGCGAACUCUCUCCCUUCCGAUGGACGGCUAGCAGGCAUGCAGGCAGGCAGACACGCGGCGACGGUCUGUUGAAGGAUCUCGUCUCGACGGCAGAAAACAGCAACUGGCAACCAUCGUAGCGUGCUCAGCGUCGUAUUAACAGUCAGCGGAUGCUAGCGAGCGUUUGAGAGAUUGUCCUUGUGCAAUCUGUGUUGGUGUCGCGCGCGUCCGAAGGGAGAGAGAGAGAGAGAGAUAACACAUUCGUCGUCUCAGGCGAGUGUGAUUGUGUGUGCUUGCGCCGUAGUCAAGCUCUCACGAGCAACCGAACGGAAGAGAGGCAAAUCUUAAUUUGCAUAUAUUUCUAUAUACGAAAAUUAUUUUUUCUUUUAAUAUUUCAUUCGGUGAUAACUUCAUUCUGGUGUGAAAUAAUUGCUUCGUAACUUUUUACAUCAUUAUGCUGUCUACUUUGUUUAUGCAUGCAUACGCGAAUCAGGCAGCGAGCGCAGCGGAGCCUUUUUUAGGCAGCUCGCGAGCUGCCGUUAACCAGCCUGCCUGGUUCGGGAGUAGCAGCGCGGGGUAAAUUGUUUGACGCGAUAUCUCAAGAAGUAGGACUGUUGUCCGUUUCGCAGUUGGCCACCUGUCCGUUUGGCAUAAGUGAAUUAUUGAGCAUAAUUCCAAAGCAAGUGGAUAUUAUCUUUCUUGGCGAGAAACUAAAUACUGUGAAAACCUUGUGACAGUGACGUUGGCUAGUUGGCAUCGAAAGUGCAGUGCGGAAUGUAGUGACCGACGACCGUUCGGGGUCAGAUGAAGAGGUUGUUGUUUAUUUUUGGGCCUUUGUCGUCACAUCGACCAAUGUGUGGAAGUUGUGCGUGAAAAAAGGAGCAAACAGCGUCCCUUUGUCGGUGGUGUUGCCGCUGUUUGCCACCCCUAGCAAAUCGGCAACUAGUCAGUCUGUCUGUCAGUCAAAAGCGAACAAAAAAAUGUUACGCUGGUGGACGAACGUGGAAACUAACCAGAAAGUGAAGCACAGUGAAAGGAUUGACCAAAACAAACAUCAGUCGCUACUUUCGGACAAACAGAGUCUCAGUCUCCUCUCUUCCUUGUACGCCGAUACUGUCGCUGAACGUAACCAAUAAGCAGCACAUAACAACAUCCUGGCACGGGGAAAAUGAUGAUAUGAAAAAACUGUUUGCCGAUUUAUUUAUGUUUGGCUGUUUCGGGCUUUUCCUGUCCGGUUGCGCGUCGAGAGUUUCGAUCCGGCAGUCACUCGUGUGGAUUACUACGAAUUUCCAAUGCUGAAUCUCGCAAGCACUACUGCUGCUAGAAGCGUUAUGAAUUCAUCGUGAUUUUACAAUUCAAGACUUAUAUUUCGAGAGGAUUUGGUUCCUUCCUGAAAAAAAAAACAGCAGCACACUUGAUAGAAUUUGGUUAACAACGGCCCGCAAUAAGCAACAACCGAAUCGCAAGCAUGAAUCAAAAAGCUGACAGCUACAGCAUUGUGGACCACGACUUCGAAGCCCUUCUGUCUGCCGUGCCAAUCGGGAACAGGAGUCUUCAUCAAACAUUGAUAAAAGCAAGGAUUAGAAGAAACUAAUACUGAUGUUAUUCAAUGCGGACAACAACAGCAACAACUCUAACAUCAGAAAAAAAGAGCAAAACAACAAUAAUGCAGAAGGCAUAAUCUAAAAAUGAGAAGAAGAAGAAGAAGAAGAAGAAGAAGAAGCAAAAACAGAAGCGAAAAAAUGCAACAAUUAAGUUCCUACUCUAACACAUAGAUAAAAAUAUACGUUAUAAACGAGAGUGUAAUGUAAUUGUAAUCUUAGGUCGCAACGAUGCGGAAGUUUGCUCGGCGUCUCACCCAUACAGGUUUGCUUCCGGCCACCUCGGCCCUGAUGGGUAGCGCAACUGUAAAGUUAAAAGACUGAUCCGCGCCCUGGCAGGCUGAAAUCUUUGCGAUCUCACCAGGAAAAGAAUGUGAAUUUGGCAGCACUGGCGUAACGAUUUCGCAUGCAGCGAUAUUCGCCAGAGAAUCAUCGUUUCUGUAGCAAUCGCGAACCGUGUGGCAGUGUUGCUAAAUUAAAUGCUUUUUGUUUGUGAUAAAACCUUGAUGCAGCUCUCGCCAGGGGCGCCAGUUUUGCACCUCGCUUGCUCCCACUACCGAGACCGGACUGUGUGUGUCAGGAGACUUCCGAUUAUGAUAAAAAAAAAUACAAUACUUGUAAAAUUUAUUGAUUUAAAAGGUGACAUUGUAUUCGUGCAUAGAAAUGAAAACAUAAGUUCUGCGUUUUGAAAUAUGCAGCAAACACUAGUUUUUUUAUAUAGCAUGGAUUGAAAAGCAGAAUAUACUUGACAAGGGCAAAGUGUAAUUCGAUUGUUUCGAAACUGUUGAAGGGACUUUUUGCAAGCGUAGAGCGAGCGAAGUUUUGAUCACAAAAAUACUUGAGCGUAGAAGUUAUAUAGAACUAGCGAGUUUCGGUGCCAACUUGUAGAAAGCAGUAUCUUAUCAAAUAUUGAAAGUGACAAGAGUAACACUAACUGAUGAUACUCAAUGUAGUUGGCUUAAAGCUUUAUUUUAAUUAAAAAUCAAACGAAAAUGAUUAAAAAAAUAUAAAAGUAAAAAUACAAAAAAAUGUGUGCGUAGAUGGAAGUUAUCUAAUAUAGGUCAGCGAAAAAAACUCAAUCGCUUAGUGUACUUAUCAACGUGCAAUGUUCAUACUAUUGAAUACGAUACAACUCAUGGUUGUCGUUUGCGAGGCGUCAACAAUGGUUUAAACUCAAACACUUUUCCUGAAGUCGACAGGAAAAGAGUUUCAAGUUUUGUCACCAAACAAAAAAAAUCAAAUCUAUUUACCGAAAAUGUUUGAGCGUAAGCAAGUGUAUAAUAAAAAUAAAAGUUCCUAAACAGUCCGUCUCCUUUCACGGAGCGACUAAACUACUAUUCUUAGUGUCAUAGAAUUAUCGAUCCUGUAGUUGAAAACCGGCGGCAUCCAACGCACUCGCUUUUCACAGAAUUCGUUCCUCCAAAGCAAAAUUUUGUGGUCAAAUCAUCAAUCGUGAUUGCAUCAAAAAGUUCAUAACUUUUUUUCCUUAAGCUUAUUAGGCAAGCGUUUUAAAGGUCGCACUCUGAGAAAAAAAAACAAUCAUCCUGAAGGUAUCCAGAAAUUCUGAUUGGCCGAAUUAGAAACCAUUUUGUUGUUGAGUUCGUUAAUUUUCGAUUGAAAGAGAGAAAAAAACAUAAACCAAAACAAAGUACUCGCGUGAACAACAAUAAUAGCGUUUAGAGAAGUCUGCAGGCGAACCAAAAAUUAUCAGAAUUAAAAAUUGAGGAGAUGCGAAACGAUUUUUGUUCGUACGAAAAAAAUACUAUUGAGAGUAAUAUGAGAGAAAAAACGAAAAGACUCGACAUAUCAUGAAUGUUUAAUUUUGUCCUCGCAAAAUUUUUUAACACUUAAACACACACUAACGAUUGUGCUCAGAACCAGUUGCGCCACCUAACCGUGCAGUUUUAUCAUCAUUCAUAGCUACUUAACUACUAAAACUACCGUAACAGAAUGACAGAACUACAAGUGGCAUAUUUAUAUAUACCUAAUCGAUGUUUCAACUAGUGCUCACCAGAUAUCUCCCUGGUCGUCACGAACGAAAGGAGGUGAUUCUCCCCUCUACAACACGGUUUUGUUUCCUAAUCUAGUUAUAUGCAUUUAAACAAUGCACUACAAAACUACUACAAAGUUCCUGUCGGCUCUGGCUGCGAUGGCGGAGCCCAGUUUGUUUCUCCAUUUUAUUUCUGUUACUCCUUAUCGGUUGAAAUCGACAGUUAUUCAAAUGGACACUCAGGGGUAAGCAAAACAUAAGCAAUAGGUCACUGUUUGAGUGUCCCAUUUGAAAAGUGUAGAUUUUGCAUUUCGAAACUGUGUAUGCUUGCUAUCAUCAUGCCAGUUUCUUUGGCAAUGUCGUUGAUGAUAUCGACCAUACACAAUAUAUUCCUGAAGAAAACGAAACAAAAAUAUUGAUUAAAGUUCCUAACGGCAAAAGUUUGUUUUUAUUACAGGUUUGUUUUCAUGAGUGUAACUUAUGUUUUAUGCUUCAUUAAGUUUUUCUGAAACAAAAUCUUUGUGCAAUUUCUACCACUCCCCAAUUCCCUCAUACUACAACGUUGACGAGUGAAUAGCUAUUGUUUUCCAGUAGAAGCAAGCAGGCACUAUCUACAUUUAGAAACGCGGACAUGAGAACCCGAGUUUGCAACCAGAACAGAAACACAACAUUCAACAUGAUAUGAUAUGCAUACUAUUUUAAAUACUCAUUAUUCCCAUUAUUACUGAAAGUAAGCAGAAUUUUUCCAAGAACUGUAAGAAAGACAGGAAUGCAUUAAGAUGGAAGAACAUCAAUUAGUACGUUUGUCAGCUGCUGCGACGGUCGACGAAUGUAAACGAGUGCGAUAAAUCCUUGCUAUUUGAGUAAAACCAAGCUGCAGUUAGUACUUGAAGGUACGGUAACACACACACAACUACUAUUAUUAAAACUAUUGCAAGAUUACAAGAAAACAAACAAUUGUAAAAGAUAUAUUGUCAGAUGUAAAAGUAAAUAGAACAUAAAUAAUAAUAAAAACUUAUUUGGCAGUCAA